GAUGAAGAACGUAGCGAAAUGCGAUAAGUAAUGUGAAUUGCAGAAUUCAGUGAAUCAUCGAAUCUUUGAACGCAUCUUGCGCUCCUUGGUAUUCCUUGGAGCAUGCCUGUUUGAGUAUCAUGAGCAAAUCUCAAAGUCAAUUCCUUUUGUUGAUUCAAUUGGUUUUGCUUUGGACUUGGAGGCCUUGCAGAUUUCACAGUCUGCUCCUCUUAAAUGCAUUAGCUGGAUCUCAGUAAUUAUGCUUGGUUCCACUCGGCGUGAUAAGUAUCACUCGCUGAGGACACUGUUAAAAAGGUGGCCAGGAAAAUACUGAUUGAACCGCUUCAAACGGUCUAUUAAGUUAGACAAUUACCCUUAAGUUUGAUCUCAAAUCAGGUAGGACUACCCGCUGAACUUAAGCAUAUCAAUAAGCGGAGGA
rnacentral:misc_RNA from 1 species